rnacentral:siRNA from 1 species
ACGUUCUCCAACUGAUGGGUGUCU